rnacentral:rRNA from 1 species
ACUCCUACGGGAGGCAGCAGUGGGGAAUAUUGCACAAUGGGCGCAAGCCUGAUGCAGCCAUGCCGCGUGUGUGAAGAAGGCCUUGGGUUGUAAAGCACUUUCAGUCGUGAGGAAGGUAGUGUAGUUAAUAGCUGCAUUAUUUGUACGUUAGCGACAGAAGAAGCACCGGCUAACUCCGUGCCAGCAGCCGCGGUAAUACGGAGGGUGCGAGCGUUAAUCGGAAUUACUGGGCGUAAAGCGCAUGCAGGUGGUUUGUUAAGUCAGAUGUGAAAGCCCGGGGCUCAACCUCGGAAUAGCAUUUGAAACUGGCAGACUAGAGUACUGUAGAGGGGGUAGAAUUUCAGGUGUAGCGGUGAAAUGCGUAGAGAUCUGAAGGAAUACCGGUGGCGAAGGCGGCCCCUGGACAGAUACUGACACUCAGAUGCGAAAGCGUGGGAGCAAACAGGAUUAGAUACCCCGUA